GCUUUCUCCGGUGGUCGAAGACCGGGGUAAAGCGGAGCGUCUAACAGUGUCUGCUGUUAGGCGCUCAACUAUUU
rnacentral:antisense_RNA from 22 species